rnacentral:lncRNA from 1 species
GAAAAUAUGAUAAAAACUAGAGAUGAGAUGCACCUAUGCAUAGACAACAACUAAAAAAGGUCAUCAUUUCAGGGGAUUCAUAUUGCUUGAAACUUAUCUACAGAACCUGUCAUCUUCAAGAAACUUCUUCUCUGAUUCAAUAAAAUACAUUCACAGAAUUAUCAGUAGAAUAAUUACCAAAUGUUCUAUUGCUUACAGAUACAUAUGUGUACACACAAACUAGAGAUUCCAUUCUAAGGAGGCCCCUUUUGUUUAGAUAAGCAUAAUGAUGGUUUUAUGUGUGCAAGUCUGGAGAUAACUUGUUUAGAGUAGCACUGGGGCAGAGAGGAUGAUCUGUAAUGGAGACAUGUCCUAGACAGGAUAAGCAAAGUUAGGCUGGGCAGCGUACAACCCUCACAGCUCGGUGCUUUAGCUGUCUUAACAUAAUGAGGGCUUCUUUCUCCACAAAUCACCUUUUGAGUUUGGGCAGCAUUCCAACUCAGCAGUCCAGGCCACUUCUGUCCUAGGUCUCUACUGUCAAAACCCAAGGUCUUCUCAUGAUUGCCAUACCUUUCCCUUUACUUAGAGUUUAUUCUUCUUUCAAAAAGAGAAUUUGAUUGAGUUAGUUGUCCUCAUUGCAUCCAUUAAGGGCCUCAGCUGGGCAAAGUUCUUGCAAAUCUUCUCAGGCAUUGUUGGUUCCCUCUC